AGGGAGUCCUGGAGGUCAUCGUCAACCAGAGAUUGCUAAUGUUUGGAGGCUAAAUUGAUUUUCCGCUCAAGCAGCUAGAGGUCUUCCUAGGAAACUGCAUUGGCAGAUGCAGAAGACUCCUGCAGGAUGAAAAAAUGGAUUUACUAGAAGGCAAACACGAUAGCGGCCAAGUUGCUUCUAUGUGUUGGUGAUAUUAGUCAUGGCCUUGAUGCUUGGAGGAUAUAUAACGAUC